GUGGAAUUUUGAUGGCUCUAGUA
rnacentral:piRNA from 1 species